CUGUUGACUUCACUUGAAUGGAAUGAUUUUGGGCUGAAUGGAAUGACCAUUCCGGGCUGAAUGAAAAAUUAACUUGUUUGGUUGGGCCAGCGGAAUGGAAUGAGGUAUCCUGGUCCAUUCCUUUUGGACUAAAAAAAAUAACAACUCAUUCCUUUUAAAACAUGCGGUACAGAUUCAUUCCAUCGUCAAAUUAAAAUGUCCGGCCAACGGGAAGAAGACGAUCUAUACUCACUGCCCUAGCCCGCAGCGAUGGUUCUCUCCUGGAUGCUAUCUCUCUCUCUCUCUCCGAAUAGAGCGCGCUCUCUCUCCCAAUUAACUCCCAAGCACUCUCUCUCAAUUAGCUCUCUCUCGACAUGGAAUCAAAUACUGAUACUAUCGUGAACGUGGAAUGGACGUGGAAAGAGGCGCAUGGAGAAUCAAAAGGAAGUGGUCUAAACUAGAAGAUGAGAAAUUGGUCGAGUCUCUUUUAGAACCUGUGAACAAUGGAGCAUACAAAGCUGACAAUGUUUUCAAGCCGGGAUAUCUUGGAUUUUUGGAAAUUUCAUUGAGCGUCAAACUACCAACUUCAGGCCGGGAUAUCAAGCCGGGAUAUCUUUUUUUUUUUUUUGUCUUAGUUAUGCACUUAUGAAUAUUUCAGAUUUUUAUUUUGUACUUAUUUUGAUGAAGUUCAAUUUAAAAUUUGUAUAUAUUGCCUUUAGUUAAUUGUA